GCCUUCGUGGCAUAACGGUAGCACACUCGGCGCGUAUUCGAGAGGUCCAGGUUCGAAUCUCGGCGAGGGCA
rfam:Stegodyphus mimosarum contig123477, whole genome shotgun sequence.